UACGUAGGUGGCAAGCGUUAUCCGGAUUUACUGGGUGUAAAGGGCGUGUAGGCGGGGACGCAAGUCAGAUGUGAAAACCACGGGCUCAACCUGUGGCCUGCAUUUGAAACUGUGUUUCUUGGGUACUGGAGAGGCAGACGGAAUUCCUAGUGUAGCGGUGAGAUGCGUAGAUAUUAGGAGGAACACCAGUGGCGAAGGCGGUCUGCUGGACAGCAACUGACGCUGAGGCGCGAAAGCGUGGGGAGCAAACAGG
rnacentral:rRNA from 1 species